ensembl:lncRNA
AUGCCCCUGCCGCGCCCAGGACACGUGCACGCGUGCGCUGAGAGCAUGUCCUUCCUCCUAAUAAACCACUGUGAGAACCCGUGUCUGGUGGGUGCUGCUGGCCUGGCUGGACAGGGAUGCGGGGCCGGGGGCUCCGUGCAGCUCUGCCCGGGGGGCUCCUGGCUGGCAGAGGCUGCUGGCGGCGUGAUGGGGGCCUGGGGUGCUGCCCGCUGGAGUGCUGCGUCCCCGCAGCAGGUGGGGGUGUGGGAUGGCCACGCCGUGGGGCCGGGACAGUGGUGUCCCCUGCUCGGGGCCUUGGGCAGCUGGGCCCCCAGCCCGUGCCCUGCCCGCUGCCCUCCUGCCGGCCUCCCUGCCUUCUUUGCCGCGGAGCAUCCCCAUCCCCAAACCCCACAGCUGUGGCUGGGUGCUGGCGAGGAAGGGAAGGUGGCAGCCACAUCUCUGCUCGGCGGUACCCCGUGCCCCCGGCUCCCCCCCGGCCCACCAGCCACCAAGAUCCGGGCUGGCGCGGGGGCCCCUUCCUGUCCUGUUUCCCUCCUGCCUGCCCUGGGCCAGCUGCGCUCCUGCGGGCUCUGCCUCCACUUCCCCUGGCAGGGAAACGGUGACUCUGCUUGGAAGGAAUUUUCCUGCUGUCUCCCCUCUCUGCGACUUAACCCUUCCCCAGCUGGCCAGCGUACGCCCCAGCAGCUCGCGAGGUCACCGAGCUGGGCAGCUGUUUCUUCACUGCUGCCAGCCCUCCUCCUCCUCCUUCUCCUCCCAGCAGCUGCUGCAGCCACGAGCGGUGCGGCGGGACGUGUCGGGGUGGGACGUGUUGCGGGCUGGGACAGGGCAGCGAGGGGCUCAGCGUGGUGCCGCCGUGCUCCAGGCAGCCCGGGCAGGGGGGGAAGGGGGCGAUGGGCAGGCAGCCCCGGCUGCACUGGGCCGUGCCCGCGCCCCAGCCCGGUGCCGUGGUGGUCAGCAGCGCGUGCCUGGCCACACGUGACGGUGAGACGUUCGGGCACCUCCGGUAACAGCUCCGUCCUCGCCACCCUUUCCUGUGUCCCACCAGAGCAUCAGCCCCGUGGGGCUGCACGACGCCGAGGGCCGUGGAGGGUGCUGCGGCUGGGUGAGUCCGGCUGCUCCCUUGUCCCUGUUGCGUGCAGGGCUGGGCAGGGAGAACGGGGUGGGCCAAGCCCCCGGCCCCCUCCCAGGAGGGCUGCAGCCCUGAGCCCAGCAGCGUGGGGACAGCCCCGGCUGGGUUGGGGCAGGGGUGGCCCUGCGAGAGGAGAGACCUCACUCCCGCUGCCUGGGGCAGGGCUGCAGCACAGUGCGAGGCGAGAGCCGGGGCUGGCCCCCAGCCCCUUGGCCCUGGGAGGCUGCUGGGGGCUGGCCCGUCCCCGGCCAGGCUUUGGCACUGACGAGUUUCUGGGUUCCCCUGAACUCAGCCGGGGCUUGCUGUUGGGAGCACGUCCCCCUGCCCUGGCCUCCCUCCCUGGCAGUGCGAUGGGGGGCAGCAGGAUGGAGCCUGGCACGUGCCCAGCCCUUCCGCAGGCACCUGCACACCCUCGACAGGAGUGUUUAACCUCUCCCUGCCACGGACAGGGUGAGACUUCUGCCCCCAUCCUGCAGGGACGAUGUUCCCGGGGUGCCCAGGUGCACUGCGUGCCGAGGGGUGCACAGCCAGGCUGUCGCUGCUGGCAGGUGGUGGCUUGUCCCCUGGUGGCUUGUCCCCUUCCUUGUUACCCCCAGGGACGAGUGUGCUGGCAAAGGCCGGUGUGA